rnacentral:rRNA from 1 species
AGAGUUUGAUCCUGGCUCAGAUUGAACGCUGGCGGCAUGCUUUACACAUGCAAGUCGGACGGCAGCACAGAGAAGCUUGCUUCUUGGGUGGCGAGUGGCGAACGGGUGAGUAACAUAUCGGAACGUACCGAGCAGUGGGGGAUAACUAAUCGAAAGAUUAGCUAAUACCGCAUAUAUUCUGAGGAAGAAAGCAGGGGACCAUUUGGCCUUGCGCUGUUUGAGCGGCCGAUAUCUGAUUAGCUGGUUGGUGGGGUAAAGGCCUACCAAGGCGACGAUCAGUAGCGGGUCUGAGAGGAUGAUCCGCCACACUGGGACUGAGACACGGCC